CUGCUUUUCCUGAAAUGGACUCCAUUUGGGCAACUCUACAUCUUUUAUGCCUCAUUCUCGGUUUUAAUACGGGAGGCGCCAUAUAUUAUUGCAAUGUUGCAGAUCCAUGUGCGCAAGCAAAUGCUUCUUCAUUCUUUGAACCUUAUUCACGAUUUGAAAAUUGCCAGUAUAAUUCAAACUACGCACCAUGUGACCGUUAUAUAACUCCUCAGUGGUACCGAGUAAAUGACACAAUGCUGACGCAAUGCCCAGAGCUUCU